rfam:Plasmopara halstedii genome assembly, contig: Scaffold_625
GGAUAGAUGAUCGAGUGGUUUAAGGUGUCAGUCUUGAAAACUGAAGUAUAUAAAAAUACCGUGGGUUCGAAUCCCACUCUAUCCU